rnacentral:rRNA from 1 species
UACGGGGGGGGGCAAGCGUUUGUUCGGAAUUACUGGGCGUAAAGGGCUCGUAGGCGGCCAACUAAGUCAGACGUGAAAUCCCCAGGCUCAACCUGGGAACUGCGUCUGAUACUGGAUGGCUUGAAUCCGGGAGAGGGAUGCAGAAUUCCAGGUGUAGCGGUGAAAUGCGCAGAUAUCAGGAGGAACACCGAUUGCGAAGGCAGCUCGCUGGGACGUAACUGACGCUGAGACGCGAAAGCGUGGGGAGCAAACAGG